CACUCAGCCACAACUGGAACUCCCUCCCGGCUCUGUUUAAACUUACGUAUAUUCAGGGUUAUUUUGCUGCUCUUGUCUUCGGCCCUGUCCCUGCCACCCCCAGCUCCACCAUCCCAACACCACCAUCUGUAAACUCGGCCCAGCCUGAGCCCGGGCCGCACGCAGUUGGCUCCCACAGAGUGACUGCCACGUGGUCACCUGUACAGGCUGAGACGACCACCAGAGGCUUCCGGCCCAGUGAGGCCAGUCCCCAGCGGCGGCAAAGCCCACCUUCUGCACCAGUGUCCCCACACGCCCCACCCCACCUACGGAGUAAUCACAUCUACAAUGGGACCCGGCCGGCCAGGCACAAAGAUGACAGCUGUGUGGCAGGGCUGCAGCCAGAGGGGCCAGCACCAGGCCUCGCAGCCUCCUUAAUUUAUUUAUAGAUGCUCUGGCUCUUUAUGUGGCCUAGUUAAGGACACCUUUCCAUAAACACGUAGAAACGGAUGUUAUUCCAGAACCCACCAAGAAUAGACACAGCUGUAGAGAUUGUUGCCGGAUGAAGAGCCCCGUCUCCCUCCCGUCACCCCUUCCCCUCAAAAGUUUAAAAGGCGUGUGGGUUUGGUUUUUUUGUUUGUUUGUUUGUUUGUUUGUUUGGAGUGUUUGUAUGCCAGAGAGGAAUUCUGUUCCUUAAUGAGAUGUUUCUUUGAGAGCAAGGACAGGAUUUCCUAAGCAGCAGAAUAUUUCAAACUAGGGGUGUAUCUUUGCAACUAAAGACAUAGCUUUCACCUCUCCCCCUCCCUCGAUAGUGAUUUCUGGGGCUCUGCUUUCCUCCUUAAAUGUGAGCAUCUCUUUAACUCAAACAUAGUCCUCUUGUUCCAGAGGCCACACGUGGUUCAUUUCUCUGAAAAAUUAUGAUUUGCCAAACACAACUCCGGCCCUUUCCGAUGUGAUCAGUUGCUUGGGGCGCGGCCCAGGAACUGCUCUCUGGAGUCAAGAGUCAGAGAAAGCAUCAAAUCAAUACGGAGCUGUAAACGGGUCCCCAGCCCGUACCCCUUUGUUAUUUCUACUGGUUUGUUCUACAGACCCUUAAUUCUAUUAUCCAGCUUUAAUUUGGCUCUGUGUCUCUCCAACAUUUUUUUUUUUCUUUCUUCUGCGCCCUUUCUCUUUAAUCGAUUGAUUCAUCUGUAAUUGGAUUUUCUCUGGCUGUUACCAGCUAUUAAAAGUAGCUCUGCGUGUGUAUGUGAGUGAGUGCGCUUUCUAACUAGGCCACGGUUUUGAAUGCCUGGCAAUCCUGACUCUUGCUCAGGUUCCUUAGAACGAAUUCAAUUCCCUGAUUCCUUCUUAGGCAGUGGGGAGUCAGAGAGAGAACGCAGGCUUUAGAAGCAGAUAGCACCGCACCAUAUCGUGUUUGGUUCUGUUUGUUUAGUGUAAGGCAGACAUUUAUUGAGCUCAUAUUACUGGGCCAGGAGUCUUUCCAAGCACUUUACAAGCAUGAAUAACCCUCACUGCAUCCUUUUAAGGUAGGUACUGUUAUUAUUCCAUUUUACAGAUAAAAGGAUGGCAUCAGAGGAGGUUAAGGGACCCACCCAUGGUCUCACAAUAGCACUUGAUCAUGAUGCAGUUUUCCAAAAUUCUACCCCUUCAUACCUGAGUAAAUUGGGGGGGGGGGUGUUUGUUAUGUAUUUUUCUUUUUAGGGCCGCACCUGAGGCAUAUGGAAGUUCCCAGGCUAGGGGUUGAAUUGGAGUUGCAACGCUGCCCUACACCACAGCCACAGUGAGACCAGAUCUAAGCUGCAUUCACCACCUACACCUCAGCUUGUGGCAGUGCCAGAUCCUUAACCCACUAAGCAAGGCCAGGGAUCAAACCCGCAUCCUCAUGGAUACUAGUCGAAUUCUUAACCCUCUGAGCCACAACGGGAACUCCUCCUCCACAUCACUUCUGCAAAAUGAGCAAAAGCAGAUCUCCCUUGCAGGAUGAUGGUUAGAAUGUUUCACACUGGGGGGUAUAUACAUAGCAGAUCCCAGGGUCUGACACCACAAGGGAGACCAGUAACUCCUCUGCUGUGGAUGAGACCAAGGAAAUAAGGGAACCCUGCGAGUGUGGAGAAGAGAAAUAGAGUGUUGUCUUCCAAAGCUGGCUUCCUAAGCCGCCACCAUCUUUGCUUCUAACAAACAAACAGAAACCAAGCAGGCGACUUUAUAGAAUCACUAUGGAGAUCCUGCUGCUGGCAAGCAGUGGACUUUAGACAAGCAUUUCCACUCUCCAGCCAUUGGUUUUCCCAAAUGUGAAAUGAUGGGGUGGAGCUAGCUGGCUGGACCUCUUCUGUACCAAGGUCAGGGGCAAGCUUGGUUCUGUCACUUCAAGGCUGCACCAUCUCUGCCAGGACAAUCAUGAAGGACUUAAGCACUUGUCAGUUACAUUGAAUAUAAUAAUCUAAGUAUCCUCAUAAAUGCAUACAGUUGAUACUCAUACCCCCAUUGCAUAGAUGGGGAAACUGAGCUACAGAAUGGUCAUGUGCCCACUGUGGCAUGGGAAGUGGCAGAACCAAGGCUCAAACCAGUGCACUCUCUCCCCUAAGGCACAGGGCACCUCUCAUUGUUUCCGGGUAUCAGAUCAGGGACGAUCUGCAGAACUUGGCUUUGUCACUGAGGCAGGGUGGGACAGGUGCAGGGGGUGAGUCAAGCACUGGGAAGGGGUAAAUUACUGAGGAAAAAUGGACUUGCCCAAUUGCCUGCAGAGUAGUUUGAGAUUUGACCAUCAUUUGGGUUGUGUAAUAAUUCAACCUUCUCUGUGUCUUAAACAAUCUGGUAGGUGAUUUCACAAGAUUGUUGAAUGAAAGAGGCACAUGAAACCCUCAGCACAGCACCUGGUC
ensembl:lncRNA